rnacentral:rRNA from 1 species
CGCUGGCGGCAGGCCUAACACAUGCAAGUCGAGCGCCCCGCAAGGGGAGCGGCGGACGGGUGAGUAACACGUGGGAAUUUUCCUCAAGGUACGGAACAACUCAGGGAAACUUGGGCUAAUACCGUAUGAUGCAGAGAUGCCAAAGAUUUAUCGCCGUUGGGAUAAGCCCGCGUCAGAUUAGGUAGUUGGUGGGGUAAUGGCCUACCAAGCCUGUGAUCUGUAGCUGGUCUGAGAGGGCGAUCAGCCACAUUGGGACUGAGACACGGCCCAAACUCCUACGGGAGGCAGCAGUGGGGAAUCUUGCGCAAUGGACGAAAGUCUGACGCAGCCAUGCCGCGUGAAUGAUGAAGGUCUUAGGAUUGUAAAGUUCUUUAGCCUGUGACGAUGAUGACGGUAACAGGAGAAUAAGCCCCGGCUAACUUCGUG